rnacentral:rRNA from 1 species
AGAGUUUGAUCCUGGCUCAGGACGAACGCUGGCGGCGUGCUUAACACAUGCAAGUCAAGGGGGCCCGCAAGGGUAACCGGCGAACGGGUGCGUAACACGUGAGCAAUCUGCCUAGAUGUGGGGGAUAGCCGGCCCAACGGCCGGGUAAUACCGCAUACGCUCGCUUACCGGCAUCGGUGAGCGAGGAAACUUUCGAGGCAUCUAGAGGAGCUCGCGGCCUAUCAGCUAGUUGGUGGGGUAACGGCCUACCAAGGCGGUGACGGGUAGCUGGUCUGAGAGGAUGGCCAGCCACAUUGGGACUGAGAUACGGCCCAGACUCCUACGGGAGGCAGCAGUGGGGAAUAUUGCGCAAUGGCCGAAAGGCUGACGCAGCGACGCCGCGUGGGGGAUGAAGCAUUUCGGUGUGUAAACCCCUGUUGCUUGGGACGAACAAGCCUUUUCGAGGGCUCUGACGGUACCGAGUGAGGAAGCACCGGCUAACUCCGUGCCAGCAGCCGCGGUAAUACGGAGGGUGCGAGCGUUGUCCGGAAUCACUGGGCGUAAAGGGCGCGUAGGCGGUCUGCUAAGCGUGUGGUGAAAGCUCGGGGCUCAACCCCGAGUCGGCCAUGCGAACUGGUGGACUAGAGCACUGUAGAGGCAGGUGGAAUUCCGGGUGUAGCGGUGGAAUGCGUAGAGAUCCGGAAGAACACCGGUGGCGAAGGCGGCCUGCUGGGCAGUAGCUGACGCUGAGGCGCGAUAGCGUGGGGAGCAAACAGGAUUAGAUACCCUGGUAGUCCACGCCGUAAACGAUGGGUACUAGGUGCUUGGGGGAGCGACCCCCCGAGUGCCGGCGCUAACGCAUUAAGUACCCCGCCUGGGGAGUACGACCGCAAGGUUGAAACUCAAAGGAAUUGACGGGGGCCCGCACAAGCGGUGGAGCAUGUGGUUUAAUUCGAC